AUGCUCGUACGAAUGCAAGAUACCACUAUUGAGAUUUGUUUGAUGGUGCCCACCGACCAUCCUCAUGGUGCAGUGUUGCCGGUGUUGGCUCGGCAAGCCAUUUUCUCAUGCCUUGUCUGCACUGUGCCAAUAUUUAUACAGCAAGAUGGACUGUACUAUGCCAGAAUUUAUAGUGAAGAUAAUUUAGGCCGCAAGAUGAAUUGCACUAUGCCAAAAAUUAUAGUGCAAGGUAGACUAAAUUUCAGCUAUCGGUCUACACGAUGCUAUAAUUUAUACAGCAAGAUAGACAAAACUUCAUCUAUGAAGCUAUUAGCUUAA
rnacentral:rRNA from 1 species